AGAAACAUUCAUGCUGGGACUUGCAUGGCACAGAGUAAUAUGAGGCAUUUGAAAGGCACCUUUUGAAAGGAGGAGGUGCCGAUGUCAAGUAGACAAGACCGUGGACUUUUGAAAACCUCCACUCUACCCUGACACAGCAGUUAUUCCGAAGAGAAAAAAUGUUUCUGUGUUGAAGCUGAUUGUCAGCACCCCUCAUCCAAGGGUUUUCAAAGUUCGGGCAAAUUAAACAGCAGCACCUGUUGAAACAAAUCAAUCAGCCUCACCUUCUCUUGGUUUGACUGUUUUCAGAUGAAGAGCUAUGUCUUUUAGAAUGAGCAGGACUCGAGGUAGAUCUUGUCAAAGGCCAGGGCGCGCCAAUCCGCAGAAGAUCAAAAGCAGACACGUUUGCAACAGACAGAAGCAGACUUCUCAUUCCGUCACACGGAAGCCUGGACUUUGCAGGACCUCUCAAUGCAUGUGCAGUGUAGAAAAAUCAGAAGACCUGAAGAUUUUACAAAUGAUCCUUCCGAAAACUGAGACAAAUGUACUAAAAAUAGGACCACCAA
rnacentral:lncRNA from 1 species